AUUUUAUUAAUAUAAAUAAAUAUAUUUAACUUCCACUUAAAAAAUAAAAAUAAAAUU
rnacentral:tRNA from 1 species